rnacentral:rRNA from 1 species
UUGGAGGGCAAGUCUGGUGCCAGCAGCCGCGGUAAUUCCAGCUCCAAUAGCGUAUAUUAAAGUUGUUGCAGUUAAAAAGCUCGUAGUUGAAUUUCGGGGUUAGUAGGUUGGUCAUGCCUCUGGUAUGUACUGGUCUCACUGAUUCCUCCUUCCUGAUGAACCUUAAUGCCAUUAAUUUGGUGUUUUGGGGAAUUUGGACUGUUACUUUGAAAAAAUUAGAGUGUUUAAAGCAAGCUAACGCUUGAAUACAUUAGCAUGGAAUAAUGAAAUAGGACGUUCGAUCCUAUUUUGUUGGUUUCUAGGAUUGACGUAAUGAUUAAUAGGGAUAGUUGGGGGCAUUAGUAUUCAAUUGUCAGAGGUGAAAUUCUUGGAUUUAUUGAAGACUAACUACUGCGAAAGCAUUUGCCAAGGAUGUUUUCAUUAAUCAAGAACGAAAGUUAGGGGAUCGAAGACGAUCAGAUACCGUCGUAGUCUUAACCGUAAACUAUGCCGACUAGGGAUCGGAUGAUGUUAAUUUUUUAAUGACUCAUUCGGCGCCUUACGGGAAAC